rnacentral:lncRNA from 1 species
ACAGAGGGAGAGAAAAGGAGAGAAAAACGCAUGAAAAAAAAAUUACCUUGAGAGAAAGAGUAGAAAUUGUGUAGAAUCAAGGAUCUAAAAAGUGUAAAUCACCAAAUCACUUCCUCAAGAAAGGAUUUAAGAAGAAAACUAAGUGAGGGAGAAGGGUGAGAAAGGGGUCGUAAGCCAUGACAAAGAAGAAAAAUUGAAGGGGA